GGGGUUGUGGCUCAGUGGUAGAGCGUUUGCCUAGUGCGUGAGAGGCCCUGGGUUCAAUCCUCAGCACCA
rnacentral:tRNA from 1 species